rnacentral:rRNA from 1 species
GACGAACGCUGGCGGCGUGCUUAACACAUGCAAGUCGAACGGAAAGGCCCCUUUGGGGGUCCUCGAGUGGCGAACGGGUGCGUAACACGUGAGUAACCUUCCCUUGACUUCGGGAUAACUUCAGGAAACUGGGGCUAAUACCGGAUAGGAAUCCUUGCUGCAUGGUGGGGGUUGGAAAGCUUCGGCGGUUUUGGAUGGACUCGCGGCUUAUCAGCUUGUUGGUGGGGUAGUGGCUUACCAAGGCUUUGACGGGUAGCCGGCCUGAGAGGGCGACCGGCCACAUUGGGACCGAGAGAAGGCCCAGACUCCUACGGGAGGCAGCAGUGGGGAAUAUUGCACAAUGGGCGGAAGCCUGAUGCAGCAACGCCGCGGGCGGGAUGACGGCCUUCGGGUUGUAAACCGAUUUCAGCAGGGGCGAAGCUUGUGGUGACGGUACCUGCAGAAGAAGCACCGGCUAACUACGUG